rnacentral:tRNA from 1 species
CAGGGUGUAGUUCAUCGGUAGAACGCUGGGCUGGGGGUCCAGAUGUAGCAGGUUCAAUUCCUGUCACCCUGA